GCCUUUGUAGCUCAAUGGUAGAGUAAUCGCUUGAAGCGUGAUUUGUCUGAGUUCGAUUCUCAGCAAAAGCA
rnacentral:tRNA from 1 species